rnacentral:tRNA from 1 species
AGUUAAUGAUCUUGACUAAA